rnacentral:rRNA from 1 species
GUGCUAACGUCCGUCGUGAAGAGGGAAACAACCCAGACCGCCAGCUAAGGUCCCAAAGUCAUGGUUAAGUGGGAAACGAUGUGGGAAGGCCCAGACAGCCAGGAUGUUGGCUUAGAAGCAGCCAUCAUUUAAAGAAAGCGUAAUAGCUCACUGGUCGAGUCGGCCUGCGCGGAAGAUGUAACGGGGCUAAACCAUGCACCGAAGCUGCGGCAGCGAACGUAUCACUUAAAGCGAUUCAGCGGGUUACGAUUGACGGAGCGAAGCGACGUCAAAGCGUAUACAAAGUCGAGUCGGUUUAAGGAUACGUUCGUUGGGUAGGGGAGCGUUCUGUAAGCCCGUGAAGGUGGCCUGUGAGGGUUGCUGGAGGUAUCAGAAGUGCGAAUGCUGACAUAAGUAACGAUAAAGCGGGUGAAAAGCCCGCUCGCCGGAAGACCAAGGGUUCCUGUCCAACGUUAAUCGGGGCAGGGUGAGUCGACCCCUAAGGCGAGGCCGAAAGGCGUAGUCGAUGGGAAACGGGUUAAUAUUCCCGUACUUGGUGUUACUGCGAAGGGGGGACGGAGAAGGCUAUGUUGGCCGGGCGACGGUUGUCCCGGUUUAAGCGUGUAGGUGUGUGUUCCAGGUAAAUCCGGUUCACUUUAACACUGAGGCGUGACGACGAGGCACUACGGUGCUGAAGCAACAAAUGCCCUGCUUCCAGGAAAAGCCUCUAAGCAUCAGGUAACAUCAAAUCGUACCCCAAACCGACACAGGUGGUCAGGUAGAGAAUACCAAGGCGCUUGAGAGAACUCGGGUGAAGGAACUAGGCAAAAUGGUGCCGUAACUUCGGGAGAAGGCACGCUGACACGUAGGUGAAGUGAUUUACUCAUGGAGCUGAAGUCAGUCGAAGAUACCAGCUGGCUGCAACUGUUUAUUAAAAACACAGCACUGUGCAAACACGAAAGUGGACGUAUACGGUGUGACGCCUGCCCGGUGCCGGAAGGUUAAUUGAUGGGGUCAGCGUAAGCGAAGCUCCUGAUCGAAGCCCCGGUAAACGGCGGCCGUAACUAUAACGGUCCUAAGGUAGCGAAAUUCCUUGUCGGGUAAGUUCCGACCUGCACGAAUGGCGUAAUGAUGGCCAGGCUGUCUCCACCCGAGACUCAGUGAAAUUGAACUCGCUGUGAAGAUGCAGUGUACCCGCGGCAAGACGGAAAGACCCCGUGAACCUUUACUAUAGCUUGACACUGAACAUUGAGCCUUGAUGUGUAGGAUAGGUGGGAGGCUUUGAAGUGUGGACGCCAGUCUGCAUGGAGCCGACCUUGAAAUACCACCCUUUAAUGUUUGAUGUUCUAACGUGGACCCGUAAUCCGGGUUGCGGACAGUGUCUGGUGGGUAG